AUUGAACGCUGGCGGCAGGCCUAACACAUGCAAGUCGAGCGGAUGAAGGGAGCUUGCUCCUGGAUUCAGCGGCGGACGGGUGAGUAAUGACUAGGAAUCUGCCUUGUAGUGGGGGAUAACGUCCGGAAACGGGCGCUAAUACCGCAUACGCCCUGAGGGAGAAAGUGGGGGAUCUUCGGACCUCACGCUAUCAGAUGAGCCUAGGUCGGAUUAGCUAGUUGGUGGGGUAAAGGCCUACCAAGGCGACGAUCCGUAACUGGUCUGAGAGGAUGAUCAGUCACACUGGAACUGAGACACGGUCCAGACUCCUACGGGAGGCAGCAGUGGGGAAUAUUGGACAAUGGGCGAAAGCCUGAUGCAGCCAUGCCGCGUGUGUGAAGAAGGUCUUCGGAUUGUAAAGCACUGUAAGUUGGGAAGAAGGGCAGUAAGUGAAUACCUGGCUGUUUUGACGUUACCAACAGAAUAAGCACCGGCUAACUUCGUG
rnacentral:rRNA from 1 species